rnacentral:rRNA from 1 species
CCUACGGGCGGCAGCAGUGAGGAAUAUUGGUCAAUGGGCGAGAGCCUGAACCAGCCAAGUCGCGUGAGGGAGUACUGCCCUAUGGGUUGUAAACCUCUUUUGUCGGGGAGCAAAAGCCGGACGUGUCCGGCUGUGAGAGUACCCGAAGAAAAAGCAUCGGCUAACUCCGGUCCAGCAGCCGCGGUAAUACGGAGGAUGCGAGCGUUAUCCGGAUUUAUUGGGUUUAAAGGGUGCGCAGGCGGAUUUUUAAGUCAGCGGUAAAAUCGUGGGGCUCAACCCCAUCCAGCCGUUGAAACUGGGGAUCUAGAGUGUGCGAGAGGUAUGCGGAAUGCGUGGUGUAGCGGUGAAAUGCAUAGAUAUCACGCAGAACCCCGAUUGCGAAGGCAGCAUACCGGUGCACAACUGACGCUCAGGCACGAAAGCGUGGGUAUCGAACAGGAUUAGAUACCCUAGUAGUC